rnacentral:rRNA from 1 species
UUGCACGCUGGCGGCAUGCCUUACCCAUGCAAGUCGAACGGUAACAGGUUAAGCUGACGAGUGGCGAACGGGUGAGUAAUACAUCGGAACGUGCCCAGUAGUGGGGGAUAGCCCGGCGAAAGCCGGAUUAAUACCGCAUACGACCUAAGGGUGAAAGGGGGGGAUCGCAAGACCUCUCGCUAUUGGAGCGGCCGAUGUCAGAUUAGCUAGUUGGUGGGGUAAAAGCUCACCAAGGCGACGAUCUGUAGCUGGUCUGAGAGGACGACCAGCCACACUGGGACUGAGACACGGCCCAGACUCCUACGGGAGGCAGCAGUGGGGAAUUUUGGACAAUGGGCGCAAGCCUGAUCCAGCCAUGCCGCGUGCGGGAAGAAGGCCUUCGGGUUGUAAACCGCUUUUGUCAGGGAAGAAAUCCUUUGGGUUAAUACCUCGGGGGGAUGACGGUACCUGAAGAAUAAGCACCGGCUAACUACGUG